UGGUUUAAUUGGAAAUGCUGAUUUCGUUGUCUGAAAUUAGCAUUUCCAUGAGGAUGGUAGAACCCCUGGUUAGGGUGGGCCAUGUGGUGUCUCUGGUUUCCGAACAUUUUCUUUCCAAACAAUCCUUGGAUGCUUGCAAGAGCUGUGGUCUUUGAAUCUCAGAGUUGAUUCUCUCUGGCAAACACCCGCCUUCAAGAACUUUUACACUCAGGUUUUUGUACACCUUAUGACAUCAUAUGUCAUCAUGUAAUUCUGCAUGAUAGACAUGCUUGCAUCAAAUUACAUCAGUGCUUACGUCAUUUGACAUCACUCGUUUUACGUAGCCUACUGCACGUUGAUUGGCCAGCUAGAUUUAACUUAGAAAUAAAAUAAUGAAAAUGUAAAAAUAACAUAAGAAUUUUCAGGCUCAACUGCAUAUUAUCAGAGAUUCAUCACUGACUUUCAUAAUAUGGGGAACUAAAACCGCCAUGGUGAUGCUAAUGCUAGCACCGGGCUAGCGUUAGCAUCACGCAAAGCUAUUGUUUCCUGUUUAUUUUUGUCUACAUCAGGGUUCCCAGCUGGCGGACCGCGGUCCGGGUCCAGACCCCGAGAACCUUUAUCUGGACCGCCAAGCAUUUUUAGUAAAAAAAAAAAAAAAAAAGUAUGAUAUUACAUUUAUUAUCAACCGCGGGGAUUUUUGAACAGGCGCGCGCGAGGACAGCUACGUACGGACCGGGGUCCUUCAGCCGGCAAAAGUUCAUAGCGGUGUGAAAUGAAGCGGCGCUACGAGACUGUCCACAGAGACAAAACACACAACUUUUGAAACAAAUGACCCGCCAGAAUCAGCGCCGUGGGGACGGAAAAUACAGUUUCCCUGUGAGCGCAAAAAGAAGAUGGAAAUAAUUCUGCAUGUGACUCGAGACUGCUGUUCAGGCUUCUCUGAAGAAACUGGUCAUUCUGAAGAUGGAUCUGGAGGAAGAGUGAGCAUUUUCCUUCAUUAAACGGAUCAAUGUCACUGCUCAUUCUGACUUGAUCAAAAAGUUGAUUGAAAACUUUAA